AUACAGAGGGGGCAAGCGUUGUUCGGAAUUACUGGGCGUAAAGGGCGCGUAGGCGGCCUGCUAAGUCGGACGUGAAAUCCCCGGGCUCAACCCGGGAACUGCGUCCGAGACUGGUUGGCUCGAAUCCGGGAGAGGGAUGCGGAAUUCCAGGUGUAGCGGUGAAAUGCGUAGAUAUCUGGAGGAACACCGGUGGCGAAGGCGGCAUCCUGGACCGGCAUUGACGCUGAGGCGCGAAAGCCAGGGGAGCAAACGG
rnacentral:rRNA from 1 species